UUCGUAGAAGUGGUUUUUUUGUGCUGUUUAGAAUUUCAACCAUUUACCAUUACUGACUGUAAUUUCCCUUUAGAGGAAAAAAUCAUGGAAAGUUUUUCUAUAUGAAAGAAAAAAAUGUAAAGCAGAUGGGGAACAUUUGACUGUGGUUUCUUAUGCACAACAACCAGAGACUGCGUCUACAAAUGAAGUUCAACCACUGUCUGUUUGGAUAACUAGAAGUUUGCUAGCAUAAAUUCAGGUGAUCUAAAACAAUUUGAACUAUACUACGUGAAUACAAAUCGGAAGCAGGUCCAUCAUAGGGUAGAGGUCAGGAAGCUCAAGUGCUCUUGUGUAUGAGAUUCAUGGUUCUGUGUACUUAAUGGUCACUAAUACAGACCUUUCACUCUUAUGUGCAGUGUUGAAGAGGGAAACCACUCAUCAGUUCUUUUGCACUAUAUUUUGAAGUUCUAGUGAUUCUGUUCAGGGGAGGUGAACCCAGCUCCAGAUCUAAGAGAGGAUAUUGAACACCUUUCCUGUGUUACAGGAAGGGCAGGACAUUUGCAACCUUGGAGGCAAUUGGGUAGGGAGCUGUGACCAAAUAUCAUACAGGCAAAGGAUAGAUACUCAGAUUCCUGGAUGGGUAUUCCACACCAGACGCUUAUCCAGACUCCUCACUUCAAUCCCCUAGUCUCUCUCCAAGGUGCUACUUCUCAGCCACGUAGGUCUGCAUGAAUAGAAAUAAAUUUGGGACCACUAAGAGUUGUAGUAUUGUCAUGUGGAAUCACUGGAAUGCAUGAAUGCAGUUACCCUUAUGUUAUCACUUGUGCUUUCUGCUUCAUGAUGUACUUUCUUGAAUGGAGGAAGAGGGUGGUGGAGUAUUAUGACGGCUAAUUCUUUGAAAUGGUGUGAACCCAUAGCCUCUGCUCUCAAUGUCACCCCUGUAGACUGAUUUGGGGAGAGGUGAGAAGAAAAGAUUUGGAGUGGGUGUUUGGCUACCACUUGAGAUCACCCCCUUAUUAUUUGUAAUAGCCUGUGGAGUUGGGGUGGAUGUUGAGGGCAGGAGAAUCCAACUCCUGGAAGGUUAAGUGACCUAAUUUUCUCUUAAAGUUUAUACCAUUGUCUUUUUUUUACCCCUUCAUUCUAUUUACCUGCAUGAUAGAGAUCAGAGAGGGAAAACAUGAUAGAGAAGAAAUUUUCAGAAAGUUCAUAAGGAUUUAUGUCUUGCAGUUUGAUGCAUAUGUGUAUUAAGCAGUUUUGAGACGUUUUCCUAACUUGUGCAUGGCUAGCCAAGGAUCUGCUCGAAUAUAAAUAGCAUCACACGCUGGGAGAUUGUACUCGAUCUAAUAUUUACCCAUCUUGCACGAAGAAGUGGGACAAGGUCACUGGGAAACGUAACCUAAGAAGUGGCCAUUUCAACAGGGGUCAUUAAACUCUGUUCUAAAAUACUGCUGUCACUGGGAGUAUCCAGAUACGAAGAGCUGUGCCAGUUGGAAAAAGGUGGUAGAAUUCAUUCUGUUUCCUGUUGGGGAGAUGGCGAGGUAGCUGCACUGUGAAGGGGGCAUCCACUAACAGUUAAAUGCAGCUGUAGUCCCCUUGAGCACUGGGUGUUUGUGAAAUCAAGGACUCAGCCUUGCAGUGUCCAGGUCCAUCCAGUCUGUCAAUGGGACUUAAAUAUAUUCACUGUUCAGAUAGACCCAUUUUAUCCCUGUGCCUUCUUUCAGACUCCAUUCCUCCUGCUACUUUGAAUCUGAGAUCCAUGGAUCCAUCAAAGCCACCUUUCCAAAGUAUUUCCAGGGAAACAGUACUUUCCAGAGGGGAUUUCCCAGACAAAUAAACUUGAGGCAUGACAUACUGGAUACUCUUAUCCUGGAAAUCCAUAAUGCAUAAUGUUAUGGGUUGAAUUAUGUUCCCCCCUAAAUGAUAUGUUAGAAUCUUAAUUUCCUGUCACUCAGAAUGUGAUUUUAUUUGGAGAUAAGGCCUUUUGAGAGGUAAUCAAGUUAAAAUGAGGUCAUUUGCGUGGGCACUAACCCAGUAUGUCUGAUGUCCUUACCAAAAGGGGAAAGUUGGACACAGACAUAAACAUGAACAGAGGGAAGACCACGUGAAGAGACAGGGAGAAGAUGGCUAUCUACCAUCCAAGGAAAGAGGCCUGGAUUCUUCCCUCACAGUUCUCAGAAGGAAGCAACCCCAGUGAUAACUUCAUCAGGAUCUUCUAGCCUCCAGAAC